GUGUAUAUGAAGUUAAUGUUGGCAUCAGUGUAAUUGCAGAAUCAUUAGCAAGAUUCCCUUAGGUUUGCAUGGUUCUGUGCUGGCGUUUAUGACGUUGCACCUUUAGUGCAGCUUUUCACCGGGACCAGUCUUGGCAGCUGAUCAGUGGUAAAGGCAAGGCAUCAAGAAAAUUCCUUCCUAAACCAGAGCAAAACAUCUGCCAUAAAAUAACAGAAGUGUCUUUAUCUGAAGGAAUCCCAACCAGGCCCAAGGAAGGUGGAAGAUUAGGACAGAAUGUCAGAAAUGAAUCAAUUCCUUUCUGUCUUCUCCCUGAAACUCACCUGGAUUCCUCUUUUAUUGCAGUUACUAUGAUGCCAGUGAUGCCUCCCAGUAUUCCAGCCUAAGGGAACUCCAGCAAAGCAAAUGAAGCGAUAAAGUCAGCGAGAGCAGAACCGGGCGCUCGGUACUCACAGUCAGGAAGUGGAAUCCCAGGACAGAGAUGAUUCCAGCAAUGCUCCCGAUGCACAUGGCACCAAAAGGGUUGAUUGAAAGGUCAGCACAGCCAAUUUCUAUGGAAGUGCUGCUUGGGACAGGAGAUUUACCACAGAGGAGUCACCACUAAGUCAUGCUGAGAACUCUGGGAAGAAGAAGUAAACAUUCUCCAUUUUGUCUCUCAUUCUGCCUUUGCCUUCAGACCUGGUCACAUCUCAUUAACCUUGCUGCCACUAACCCUGCUCCCUAACCUCUUGG